rnacentral:misc_RNA from 1 species
CUCGCCGCACAGGCGCGACAAUGUCGCUCAAGGCGAAGCUGGAUGUCUAUCCCCUGGAAAACUACACGCAAACCUCGGUUGAUGUCUCCAAUGGCCACGCGGGCGUUGCGGGAAACAAGGUCAACCUAGGCGCCGGCAACUCCGCGCCAUUUCGACCCCCGAGCGCCAUUGAAAAGUUGCUGAGCUUGAAGAAGCGAUGUGAGGAGGAGCCGUGUGUGCACUCCGUGGAGGGCGUGCUCCUCGUCCACCUCCAUCGCCACCCCCAUAUUCUCCUCAUGAAGCAGAUCAACUUGAGGACUCGCGACGCGGACGGCAUGCGCACUGUGCCGCCGUCCAACACAAAUGCCGAGGCCACGUAUCGUCUGCCGGGCGGACGCUGUCGCCGUGGCGAGGCGGAGGAGAGCUGCCUACUACGCAAGCUGGGCCGUCACUUGCUGAACGAAGCGAAGGCGCCAGCGGGGGCUGCUGAGGUGGCGAGCGCCGGCAACUCCGACACGGUCGUUGAUGUGGGCAUGACGCACAACGCGUCCAAGGCAGGUAGUUGCUUUCGUGUCGGGGAGGUGUUGGCGACUUGGUAUCGACCGCAUUUCACGCCCCACAUGUACCCGUACGUCCCAGCGCACAUCGCCGCGGGCAGCGUGCGGGAAGUGCGGACCAUUUACCUCGUACAUCUUGAGCCAACGGUGUACUUCAGCAUGGUGCAGGAGGGCGUGGAGCUUGUGGCCGCACCGCUCUUCGAUCUGUACGAGAACGCAAGCAAGUACGGCCCGAUCAUUGCGAGUCUGCCGGCGCUCCUCUCGCGCGUGCUCAUCAACUACUGCAGCACAGAGUACUGAGAGGCGGCGAGUCAGUCGGCGCGCUCUGGGCGAACAGGCUGUUCGCUGUCUGUGCCAGUAAGCUCUGCUAUGGUGGGUGGGCUCCCGGGCUUCACCGCGGAUGCGCUCUCUUGUCACUCUAUGUUGAGAGCGUGCUCGGAGGCGCCGCCUCACUUGCACAGGAGCAGACGCAGGCAGACGGUGGAGUCGAGCCUUUGUGGCUGCGGUGUUUUGCUUGUUGUUUUUCACGUGCGUGUCUGCGCCUACUGGCAUUUGCGUGCCUUUAGGUUGACGCAGGUAGCGCCAGGAUGGCGCGGAACGAAAACGCGGAAUGGGCCGAAGUUGUGCAUGGAAGCUGUUAACCAGCGCAUGCGCUGCGGUGCUGUUGUUGAGCAGCGAUGGCGCCUAGUGCGUGCAGAGGGGUCGCGAAAUCGCCGAGGAGGCGCUGGAAACGCACUGCUGUGGAUGCCGUGAAUUGGCGCCUCUCACUCUGCUUUGUUCUUCCUCCCUCUCCCCUUCAUGCAGCCGCUCGUGCCGGUACUCCUGUU